AUUGAACGCUGGCGGCAGGCCUAACACAUGCAAGUCGAACGAGCGGCGGACGGGUGAGUAAUGUAUGGGGACUGCCCGAUAGAGGGGGAUAACUACUGGAAACGGUAGCUAAUACCGCAUACUAUCGGAUAACCCAUAUGGGAUUAGCUAGUAGGUGAGGUAAUGACUCACCUAGGAGCCGAUCCCUAGCUGGUCUGAGAGGAUGAUCAGCCACACUGGGACUGAGACACGGCCCAGACUCCUACGGAGGCAGCAGUGGGGAAUAUUGCACAAUGGGCGAAAGCCUGAUGCAGCCAUGCCGCGUGUAUGAAGAAGGCCCUAGGGUUGUAAAGUACUUUUGGCAGAGAAGCGGUAUCUGCAGAAUAAGCACCGGCUAACUACGUGCCAGCAGCCGCGGUAAUUC
rnacentral:rRNA from 1 species